CAAUUUUUAGGUGGGAAGUCAAUUGUGGUUUAUGUUGUCAUACCCGUGAUGUUCAUUACAAUGAUCUCUUCCUUAUCCUACUUUAUCUUGAUUCUUGAGUCAUUAUGAUCAAAAUACUCCCUUUUAUUAAUUUUUUUUCCCAUUCUACUUAUCAUAUCUUGUAUAUAUAAAUGAAAGGGUGGUGAAGAAGAUUAGUGUAAAGAAUGGAAAGAAAUGAAGGAGGAAUGAAAGUAGAAUUACCACAAAUAAUGAACAAUAAUUCAAGCCCAAGAGAAUUAACAAGGCAACCGAGCAAUGGAAGUUCAAAAGUAAGUAGUUGCCUUUGUUCUCCUACCACUCAUGUUGGCUCAUUUAGAUGCCGUCUUCAUCGCUCGCCAAGCCUUCAACGCACCAAAAGUGUAGAUCCUCCUGCAUCUUCAAAGCCAGAUAAUAAUGCUACUAACUAUUAACAUUAUUCAUCUAUUAAUAUAUCAAUUUAUAAUAUCAUGAAAAGUAUUCUUAUGUGUUAUGUAAUUAUGUUAUGAUGGAAGUAUAUUAUAUGAUCAUGUAUUCAUGUACGUUCAUUGUU